rnacentral:rRNA from 1 species
CGGUGUUCAACUGGCGUGUCCGCGGGACGUCCUGCCGGUGGGCUUAGCCCGCAAGGGCGGCCCAACUUCAAAUCCCAUCGCGGUGCUCUUCACUGAGUGUCGAGGUGGGCCGGCACGUUUACUUUGAACAAAUUAGAGUGCUUAAAGCAGGCUAAAACUUCGCCUGAAUACUGUGUGCAUGGAAUAAUGGAAUAGGACCUCGGUUCUAUUUUGUUGGUUUUCGGAACCCCGAGGUAAUGAUUAAUAGGAACGGAUGGGGGCAUUCGUAUUGCGACGUUAGAGGUGAAAUUCUUGGAUCGUCGCAAGACGGACAGAAGCGAAAGCAUUUGCCAAAAACGCUUUCAUUGAUCAAGAACGAAAGUUAGAGGUUCGAAGGCGAUCAGAUACCGCCCUAGUUCUAACCAUAAACGAUGCCAGCUAGCGGUCCGUCGACAUUCCUCCGAUGACUCGACGGGCAGCUUCCGGGAAACCAAAGCUUUUGGGUUCCGGGGGAAGUAUGGUUGCAAAGCUGAAACUUAAAGGAAUUGACGGAAGGGCACCACCAGGAGUGGAGCCUGCGGCUUAAUUUGACUCAACACGGGAAACCUCACCAGGCCCGGACACCGGAAGGAUUGACAGAUUGAGAGCUCUUUCUUGAUUCGGUGGGUGGUGGUGCAUGGCCGUUCUUAGUUGGUGGAGCGAUUUGUCUGGUUAAUUCCGAUAACGAACGAGACUCUAGCCUGCUAACUAGGCGUAUUUUCGACAUCUCAAAGGUCCGUCGUCCCGGCCCUCGGGUCGUGGGCGUGCGCGAUUUUUACUGUCGGCGUACUAUCAAUUCUUCUUAGAGGGACAGGUGGCUUCUAGCCGCACGAGAUUGAGCAAUAACAGGUCUGUGAUG